CUUGUUGACCACACAAGCCAUCUCCAGGUACUCGCCGAUUCAAAUAAAUGUAACAGAUUGAGGUUGAAUCCUGACAAGACAGAAGUACUGUUUUUGGGUGACAGGUGGUAACUGUGCCCCUGAAGGACCAGGUGCGCAGCCUGGGAGUCAUUUUGGACUCACAGCUGUCCAUGGAGGCGCAGGUUAAUUCUGUGUCCAGGGCGGCUGUCUACCAGCUCCACCUGGUACACAGGCUGAGACCCUACCUGCCCGCGGACUGUCUGGCCAGAGUGGUGCAUGCUCUAGUUAUCUCCCGCUUGGACUACUGCAAUGCGCUCUGUGUGGGGCUACCUUUGAAGGUGACCUGGAAAAUGCAAUUAAUCCAGAAUGCAGCAGCUAGAUAGGUGACUGGGACUGGCCACCGGGACCACAUAACACCGGUUCUGAGAAAUCUGCAUUGGCUCCCAGUACGUUUCUGAGCACAAUUCAAACUGUUGGUGCUGACCUUUAAAGCUCUGAACGGCCUCGGUCCUGUAUACCUGAAGGAGUGUCUCCACCCCCAUCGUUCUGCCCGGACACUGAGAUCCAGCGCCGAGGGCCUCUGGCGGUUCCCUCAUUGCGAGAAGUGAGGUUACAGGGAACCAGACAGAGGGCCUUAUCGGUAGUGACGCCCACCCUGUGGAACACCCUCCCUUCAUAUGUGAAGGAAAUAAGCAGCUAUCCUAUCUUUAAAAGACAUCUGAAGGCAGCUCUGUUCAGGGAAGUUUUUAAUAUUUAAUGCUGCACUGUUUAUAACACUUGAUUGGGAGCCGCACUUUGCUUCUUCAUGCUGUGCAUCGUUCAAAAGCACUUUGCUUCUUCAUGCUGUGCAUCGGUAAACUAUGGAACUCCCUGCCACAGCAGGCAGUGAUGGAUGGCUUUUAAAGAGGACUAGAGGGCUACCAAGGGACGUGGGUGGCGCUGUGGGUUAAACCGCAGAGCCUAGGACUUGCCGAUCAGAAGGUCGGCGGUUCGGAUCCCCACGACGGGGUGAGCUCCUGUUGCUCGGUUCCUGCUCCUGCCAACCUAGCAAUUCGAAAGCACGUCAAAGUACAAGUAGAUAAAUAGGUACCACUCCGGCGGGAAGGAAAAUGGUAUUUCCAUGCACUGCUCUGAUUUGCCAGAAGCAGCUUAGUCAUGCUGGCCACAUGACCCGGAAGCUGUACGCCGGCUUCCUCGGCCAAUGAGCGCCGCAAACCCAGAGUUAGCCACGACUGGACGUAAUGGUCAGGGGUCCCUUUACCUUUAGAGGGCUACCAGCUAUUAUGGUUGAGCUCUGCUUCCACGGUGGGAGGCAUCAAUGUUUCUAACACAAAUUGCUGGAGGGGAGAGGGCUCUUGUGCUUGGAUGCUCCUUGCGGAUUUCGCACAGCCACUGUAAGAACAGGAUGCUGGACUAGACUGGCCAUUGGCGCGAUCCAGCCAAGUCUUAUGUCUUUAUGAAUGUAAGUUCAGUGCCGUUUGCUAGGCAGCAACAGUGAGGAAUCAUAGAAUUGGAAGGGACCCUAAGGGUCAUCUAGUCCAACCCCCUGAAAUGCAGGAAUAUGGCAGCUGUUUCAGACGGGGAUCGAACUCAGAACCUUGGCAUUAUCAGCACCACGCUCUAACCGACUGAGCAAUCCAGGGGCAGCUAUUGCCUUACCGCCCUGUCUCUGGGCUUCUCCAGAGGCAUCUGCUUGUGAGGGAAAAGGAUGCUAGACAAUUUAUUUUUAAUAAUAAUUUUUAUUAUUAUUAGUAGUAGUAAUAAUAAUAAUAAAAUUUUUUAUUUAUACCCCACCCUCCCCGGCCAGAGCCAGGCUCAGGGCGGCUAACAUCAAUAAAAUUUCAGUAAAAACAUAAUAAGAAAAAAAGAAAAGGAAAAAAAACCCCCCAAUUUAAAAUACAGGUUAAAAUGCAAUUUAAAAUGCAGCCUCAUUUUAAAAGUCAAACUCUAAGGGGAGGGAAACAUAGGGUUCAGACUGAGUCCAAACCAAAGUUUUCAGUUACAAUCCAAUAACAGCCUCAUUAUAACAAUACCUAUUUAUAAUACAAUUACUAAUUCCAAUCGUUCAAAUACCGAAUUAUAUUAUUUAGAUAAAGUGGCCUCCCCCGUGUGCUAGAAUUGAUGGCUGAUGGUUUUCUUUAUUUCUGCGUUCCAAACUCUUAUUAAUUUUAAUUACAUUCCGGUCAUAAUAAUAAUCCCACUAUACAACAACUGCUACUUUAAUAACUUCUAUUCCUGUUGACACAUUAAAUGAUUUAGAAAGCUACAAGUGAGGCACUCAAACGAUAACCUUGUUCUUCCUGUGUGUGGCAAUUAUUCUGUCUGUGGUGUUUCUUAUGUACCGUAUUUUUUGCUCUAUAAGACUCACUUUUUCUCUCCUAAAAAGUAAGGGGAAAUGUGUGUGCAUCUUAUGGAGCGAAUGCAGGCUGCACAGCUAUCCCAGAAGCCAGAACAGCAAGAGGGAUCGCUGCUUUCGCUGCGCAGCGAUCCCUCUUGUUGUUCUGGCUUCUGAGAUUCAGAAUAUUUUUUUCUUGUUUUCCUCCUCCAAAAACUAGGUGUGUCUUAUGGUCUGGUGUGUCUUAUAUAGCGAAAAAUACGGUAUUUCUUAUGCAUUUAUUUAUUGCAUUCAUAUCCCACCUUUCCUCCGAAGAGCUCAAGUUGGCCUUUUCUCUCCCCUCUUCAUUUGAAUCCUCACAACAACCUUGUGAGGUAGGCUAGGCUGGGAGACUGGGACUGGCAGUGAGUUUCAAUGCGAAAUGGGGAUUUGAACCCUGGUCUGUCAGAUCCUUAGCCCAGCACAUUAAUUGCUGCACUAUCCGGGCUCAUGAUAGCUAGGCCUUUGGUCUGAUCCUGCAGGAGUCUUUAUAUCUUUUAAAAUCGACCACACCCCACAUAUAAAAAAGCCUGUGGGUUUUUCUUGAAGAUGCUUCUUCCUAGAACAAACCAGUUCUCCACUGUAUGCCCCGGCCGCAUCCUGGUGGUGUGUCAGGACAACAUUGACUUCUACUCUUGAAGAUGGGUGUUCCCUGCCCUGCAGAACUUGGCAUCUUCUCCUCACAACAUUUCCAAACUUUUCCCACUUCAGAGGCUAAGGAGGAGUUUGAUGGAGGCACGCAGGCCAAAUCUGGGUGUAGAGAAUCUCCCGUUGCCUUCAUAGGAGAGGAAGUGAGAAGGACAAUCUAGACAAAUAGAUAGGGAGAGGAUUAGAGGACCAGAAGGCCUUGCAAGCACCUAAUAUCCCUUCUAGGCAGAGAUGAAAAUUAAUGCUAUGCUUUUCCAGUUUCAAUAGUGUAAUCCAGUGGUUCCCUAACUUUUUUGAGCCACUGUCCAGAAGCUCAACCCCAGUACUCCCUACCUUAUAAAAAGCAUUACUGGAUUAGAAAUUUAACAACAACAACAAAAACCACCACCACCACCACAGCGGCUUCAACGACCAACUAAGGAAGAUAAAUAACACUCAAAACAGUAAUAACAAAUUACACAUUUUCCCCAAAUGCAAUUAAAACUAGUUAAUUAAUUCAACCAAAUUGAUGGGCGUCAUCCAGUGAUACCAGCUUUUUCAAAGUCUGAUAGUCAUUUACACCGGCAGCACCCCCUGCCACCUCCCUUCUGACUAGCACCUGUUUUACUCUAUGAUUCUAUGAUAACUGGUAUUUUUUUAAGAUGGGGGCUCUUUUCUUCAGGCAAGCCCCCAAAUUGCUGCCUGUAUUUUGCACAUAGAAGGUUCUGGGUUCAAUCCACAGCAUCUGCAGGGAGGGCUGAGAGAGACUCCUUCCCUACGAUCUUGGAGGACUGCCAAUAGUCAGUAUUGACGGUACUGAACAGGCCACCUGGCUCAGGGCGGAUCUACACUUGUUCUUUAGAACGUUAAAAAUGCGUUAUUAAAUAUGACACCAGAGGGCGCUGCAGAGCAGCAAGCCGCCAGCAAUGGAAAACUGCUAUUAAGCACUAUAGAACAUUAUUUUUUAAAACAUUUAGCAGGUCAGUGUAGAUCCAGCCUCAUUAUAUGCCAGCUUCCUAUGUUCCUUCCCAAUAGAUGUGUUUAGGGGAAGGCCUGUAGCUCAGUGGUAGAACACCUGCACUGCUUGCAGAAUGUCCCAGGUUCAAUCCCUGUGUGAUGGCCUGGGAUUCAGACUCAGAGGCUGAACCUGAGGAAUCCCAGCCUGCACAGGAGUCCCCGCCUCCAGAACCAGCUGAGCCGGGGCUGGGGCAUGAGCCUGAAGGGUCCUCACCUGUGCUGGAUCCUCAGGUGCAGGCACCAGCUGAGUCUGCUCUGGCUCCUGAGGUGAUGGCGGACCCAUUGCCUGCAGGUGCUCCACUCUCAGUCCCGUCAGAGGAAGCUGAGGUUGCCUCUGGGUCUGGUAACCCUCCAGCCUCUCCUGAGCUGCAGAGGGCAGAGAGGCGGAGGGAACUAAGUUCCCGCAGGAGGAGUGCUCACCUCCAGGCCAGGAGAGGCGAGUCACCUGUGGACUGGGGCCGCCCUAUGCCUCGGGGCAGAUAAAAGCCAGCCACCCCCCAGUCCCAGGUUGCGGGAGCAACAUUGUUAGUAGCCUGUUCCCUCCUGUACCCUGUCCUGCUCUUCUGCCAGAGUUCCUGACCUCACCUGACUCCCUGCAUUGGACCCUGCUUCAGCUUUGAUGGACAGCCUCCAUACCACACCCUCAACCUCGGACUGGACUCGGACCUCGCUGCACAGUUAACCCUUGGGACCAGCACACCCUGAUAGACCUGGAAAUGUCUCCUGCCUGAAACCUUGAAAAGAUACCGCCAACCAGUUAGACAAUACUGAGCUGGAAGGACCUAUAGUCUGACUGUGCAGAAGAUAGCUUCUCAUGGUCCUGCGUUCCUAGGAAUGGCCUUUGACUUUUUUUUUUUUUUUUAACAAUUUCUGCCCCCAGCUUGGCAGCAGUUCCCCCAUCACCACCCC